UCCUCAGUUGUUUCAUUCAGCAGGGAAAAAAAUGAACAGGACAAGAACCAAAAUUUGGACCGCAAAAGAUGCAAAUGAGAGUUUUUACCAAUACAUUCUGAAGGCAAAAUCAGAGCAAGCAGGCUGGUUCAAAUCGAUACCUGUCCUCGAGGACCAUCUUCGAUCAAGUUUAAUGAAUCGAAACUAUCAGUCGCUUCUUCAAGCUCCUCCAUACUGAAAACAUGAUACGGCAUUAGCCCAAGAGUCCCUAUCCGCAUUGCAUGAGACAUGUGCCCUUCAAAAAGGAUCAAAAUUUGGCAUCAGCGAGUUUCGAUGAGAUCAGAAUAGAAACUGAAUCGACAAAUCCUUCUUACUUGCUUCAGCUGUACUUCUUGGCGCAACCUGCAUAAGAGAUUUCCCUGCAGUGGGUGUGUGAAAGGUGCUGACCUCUGCAUCCUCUGUUCUUAUCUUCCUAAACAGCAAGAAGACCAGUAAUCCAAUCAGCACUGCACCAGCGACGACUCCCCCAACAAUGCCAAGUAUAAGGCCCAGCUUGCUCUUGGAUCCACUGAUUUUAUUUGCCGAAGGCAAAAUCGCGGCCAUCGCGCCUUGAUUGCAGUAAGAAUUCGGAUGCUGGAGCUCGAAAUCAUCUGAAUUCAAGCAGUUCCCUGAGCUGAGUACUACUCGGUUCGAGGAAUUCGCUUGGAUGCAUGAAGGCAGGCCUCCCACCAAAAGAUUGUCUGAGAUGUCAACGUAUGCGAGCUUGCUGCCGCAGGACGAAUUCGCCGGAACUUCUCCCGUCAUCCUGUUGCCAGACAAGUCGAGGUACUGCAUUGACGGUAACGAGAACAAGAACGCAGGAAUCCAUCCAUGGAGAUGAUUGGAAGACAAAUCCAGCUUCUGGAGGUGGCCGAAGGAUGCGAGUCGAGGCGGGAGACGGUCUUGGAAGCUGUUGUUUUGAAGGAGUAAGCUGACAAGGCUACUGCUCACAUAGGGGAAUUCUGGCCCGAGGUGAUUCCCCGACAAGUCCAGUUCGGUGAGAGUCGUCAAGGGGCUGAGGUCAGGAACCGUCCCGUUGAAGGAGUUCCCGGUCAAGCAGAGAUUUUGGAGGCUGGUGAUGUUGGAAAUCGCCGGUGGGAUCGGCCCCGAGAAGUAAUUGGAGCUCAAGUUGAGGACUUGGAGCGAGGAGAAGCGGUCCACCUUGCCGGGGAGCGGCCCCCAGAGGCCGAGGGAGACGAGGGAGAGGGUGGUGAGGCCGGAGAGCCUGGCGAGGGUGGUGAAUAAGGAAUCGGAGGAGAAGUUGGCUGACAGGGGCCGGUCGGCGACGCCGACGAUGGAGAGUCCGGUAACGCGGCCACCGGAGCAGGAGAUGGAGAGGGAGAGGGAGGCGGGGAGGUAGCACAAGGCGGUGGCGUUGGACCAGCCGGCGAGCGGCGGCUGGUACUCCAAGAGGCGCUGGAGGCGGAGGAGCGUCUUGUACUGGGAUGGGGACAGCGGUUGGGCCGCCGAAGGGGGAGAGACGAGGAAGACAACCAAGACGGCGGCGCAGAGGCAAGCGAUGGAGUCCCGCGUUAAAAAUCCCAUCUUUAACGAUACGAUUAAGCGUUCAGUGAUCCACUGAAGCCGUGCAAAAGCAGCAGAAAGGAACAGACACAGAGAAGAAGCUCAGAGUUGGCAUGCAAAACAGCGAUGCGCAUCAAAGCUAUGCAUGAAAGAAAAGCUCGUCCGUUUCUGCAACGGCAAAUGUUGUGUCUGCUGGGCGAAGGAGAUGGGUGGACGUGACUCGUGAUCGAACACUUAGCGAUGGGAAGAUGAGGUCUGAGGUUCCUCGGAGCUUUUUGGGGAGCAGCGAGAAGAGCCGCGGGGUGCAGGAGAGGGAAGCGGGGACGGGGGCUGUGCCUUCGGCUUCGACAGCCUACCCACGCGUUCGUCUCACUUGCCACGGCUCUCGCGGUGACCAGAAGUGAACGGACCGCAAUGGCGCACUCGCUGCCGACCUCUCUCUUCUCUCUCCACUGAAGACGAUUGAGAUCGUUAUCUUUCGUUACAUAGUCUUCCAAGAGGAGAUCUAUAAGACAGAGAAAAGGAGACCAUUGAUCAUUAAGGAUUGAAUAGAUGAAGGUUGAAGAUAGAGGGAGCUCUUUCGUGCAACAAAAAGGAAACGUAAGCCAUGCUUUUGUAUGCCAAUUGAGAUGCACAUAAACCUACACAAACUAGUCUUUAUCUUUGACUAACGCUUACACUCUAUCUGGUCCGAGCUUGUAAGGUCCGAGUCCACUUCACACGAUUAGUCAACGUGGAGGACUUGACCCAACCAUAAGCCACCAUCCGCGUGGGUCCAUCUGCCUAAAGUUAGGCCUUUAACCAAGAUGGAUGGCACAUGUAUUCUUUUGGUGUCAUCAUGCAUGCGAUGUACUUUCUUUCCAAGGAAGACCUCAAAGUAAACUUAGGCAAUUGAUAUA